AGCUCAAAUUUGAAAUCUGGCGUCUUCGACGUCCGAGUUGUAAUUUGUAGAGGAUGCUUCUGAGUAACCACCGACCUAAGUUCCUUGGAACAGGACGUCAUAGAGGGUGAGAAUCCCGUAUGCGGUCGGAAAGGUGCUCUACACGUAGCUCCUUCGACGAGUCGAGUUGUUUGGGAAUGCAGCUCUAAAUGGGAGGUAAAUUUCUUCUAAAGCUAAAUAUUGGCCAGAGACCGAUAGCGCACAAGUAGAGUGAUCGAAAGAUGAAAAGCACUUUGGAAAGAGAGUUAAAAAGCACGUGAAAUUGUUAAAAGGGAAGGGAUUGCAACCAGACUUGCUCGCGGUGUUCCGCCGGUCUUCUGACCGGUCUACUCGCCGCGUUGCAGGCCAGCAUCGUCUGGUGCCGCUGGAUAAGACUUGAGGAAUGUAGCUCCCUCGGGAGUGUUAUAGCCUCUUGUGAUGCAGCGAGCGCCGGGCGAGGUCCGCGCUUCGGCUAGGAUGCUGGCGUAAUGGUCGUAAUCCGCCCGU
rnacentral:rRNA from 1 species